GCGGAAGUGGCGGAAUUGGUAGACGCACCAGAUUUAGGUUCUGGCGCCGUAAGGUGUGAGAGUUCACGUCUUUCCUUCGGCACCA
rnacentral:tRNA from 1 species